rnacentral:lncRNA from 1 species
AUGGACUUGCUUACAUACUACAUUCUUACACCUAUGCGGAUCAGGCGACGAUCAAUAUAAUCGCGGGUGCACACGGGAUUAUAGUGAUAAGCGCAUGAGAACCCUAGAGUGUACUACUGUCUAUGGUAAGACACGAAAUGUCACAUGACACCAAAUACGAAACGGACGUAAUGUGGUCAAAACAUGGUGGAUACGCCGCUGGUACUUCCUAUAUAUAAGUGUUUUCACCAUGUUACCAAAAUAUCGUAAAACGUGCCAUGAGAAAUUCAGUGUUUUGCAGACCUUUGGACCUAAUGCAAAAUUUAAACAACUCACAAACGCAUUAUAUCCGAUUAUCCACGACGAGACUUCAUUCUUAACACACUACUUCGUCUAACCAAUACUUAUGCCACUCUUAUACUUGCAUUCAUUAAGAAUCACUCGUUCACUUCCAUACUCUCAUUAUUCUCCAUAAUCUUUUUCAUCUAUAUGAACCUCAAGCCUGUUUAAACGAUCGAAUCCUAACUUAUCACUUUACCUACAUACGCACUUACACGUUUUCAAUUAUGUAGGUACCUCAAAUCAUUUGAGCCAAACAACUUCUUUUACAAACCCAUCUUGUCGUACUUCAAAAUUUCAUACCUUUUUCGUUUCAAAAUUUUCAAGUCUCAAUUUUAAAUAAUCACUUUCUUGUCAAAAACCUCUUCAAGUCUUCCUCUUGAAUAAAUUUCGGGACGAAAUUUCCUAAAGGAGGGGAGACUGUAACGCCCUUCUAUUUCGUACCUUCUAUAUUUGGAAACCUUUGUUUAUAAUCCUAUUCUUGGAAAAUUUGCGUUCUUGUAAUCGUUGCUUCGAUGUAACCUUUGUAGAAUCCGAGACAUGAAUCACAAUGAAAUUCUCGUUUGAACGAAAUAUUAUUCAAGGAUUCUUAUUUAUCGACACUUGAUACUCGUUAAACUAGUUAAAAUCUUAAAAUUCGGAAGCUUCGUGAAAGGAAAAAAAAUCGUUAAAGGUUCUUCUUAUUUAUUUAUUUCGUUCAUAAAUAGGGUUUUAAUUUAUUUAGUUUAAUUAAUUAAAUAAAUUUUACUCUCUAAAAGUUUAUUUAAUAAAGUUUAGUUAAUCUCGUUAGAUAAUAAGGUUAGUAAAAUUAACUUAGUUAGUUUAAACCUUAAACUUAGCUUUCAAGAAAAAGAAAAAAAAAAGUGUAUUAUAACUUAGUUAAAGACAAGGGUUGAUAGUGUAAUGUGCUGAAAGUUUAAACUUACAGGGACCAGUAGUGCAAUUAGAUGAAAGUUCAAUGCUUA